UCUCAUCACCAGCGUUUAACUGUCAUGUGCCUCUUACUUGUGUUGACCUUUUAAAAUGAGACUUACGCCAAUAAAUUCACGUUCUUGCUCUUGCUUACGACCAGCUUCCGGGUCCUGCCAGGUCUGCAGAAAGGAAUGGUUUGGAUAGCCCUUCGCUACACUAUGAAGCAGUUAGUUCAUCACUUGGUGUUAGCCUCGUUCUUUGGGCUGUACCCUCUCCAGGCCAGGCAAAGGGGUCUCUGCUCUAAUGCGGGUCGCCUGGGCCAGUUUGAUCUCCAGCGAUCGGAAUGUCCUAUCCUCCUCUACUGCUGGGAGCCUGUCUGAAAUUGUCUGAAGCCAGUGGUAUUUCCGCGCAGAAGGAAAGGCGAGCAGGCGAGGCUCUGGGAGUGAUAGUCAGGCAGCUGGAUGGGGGACUCUAACAACAUCCCCAGCCCUGCGCAUUUGCUCACCGCCACUGAAGAAUUCGGACCCAGGACCUCAUGAAUCCAAUGGGUACCUAAGAGUUACUUCUUGAGGUCUGUUGUGCACAGCCUCAGUGACAACCAGAGCUUCUGAGGUUUGCAUGCUGAGGAGACAUGGCUUGGGGUUUUUUUUUCCUGUGUAUCCCAAGGAAAGCUCUCUUUCCACAUUAACUCCCCUCAGUGAAAGUAAGGGUUGAUGACAAUUUUACUGAUUUUUAGCCAGCAUGUGUUCCCUCCUCAUACAGACCAGCAGGGAACACCAGGAUAGGAGCACUACCUCCCCGUUUUAGAGACAGAGGAUGUUAUAGGGCCAUGCCUAGCAGUGUCAUGGAUCAGCAGUAGAUGAACACAGAACAAACUUACGAAGUGAGAGUUCGUGGUUUCGUUGGAGACUCGGUUGUGUUGUGUGAUGUUUUUCUGGAAGCUGCCUGGUGAAAAGGCGUGUUAUGACUUUCUGGAGUGGAUGCUUGAGAGGACACGUGGUGUGUGGAAAGGUGUAAGUGGACGACGUGCUGGCAUUGGUUCACCUUGUCAAUCCUCUGCUGGUCUUUCUCGGUCUUCACUGGCGAUGCUCUGGCAUUGGAUUACCUUGCUUUCUUCACUGGUCUUCCAUUGUUGUGACUUCAUACACAGAGAUACACUAAAGAACUUUUGGUGGUGUUCCAGCUGUUCCUUGCCACUUUAGUGGACUUAUGCCAGUCAGCAGAGCCUCACAGUUUCUUCUGCAUCUAGCUGCUGCUGGCUCGUGUUUGAUGUGUUGCUAGUGGAUUGGACUGCUGACAAUGAAGACUGGAAUCACCCCAAGGAACUACUUCUAAACAGGUCCACAUCCCCUUUGUCCUCUCAGCCAUCUUCCUCCCCUACCUUUGGUUGGUGGGUUAUAAAGAAGGUUGAAGCAUUUAAGAACCCUUAUUAGAGUAGAUUUUGAAAAUUUUCAGCUUAGGCUCUAAUGGAGAUGCUACUUCUUAAUUCCUAAUCUGUAAAAUGGGGCUAAAGCCACUUAAGUAACAAGUGCACUCUGAACCAAUUUCGCCAAGGGUUUAAAGGAUCACAGGCUCCUGAUCAAUUUACCUCUCCUGCUCUUUGAUUGGUCAUCAUGUUCAAAUGUGUUGUAGAAAUUUUUAAUCCCAAUCUGGAGUUUCCAUCCUGCCUUGAUCAUUCAGUUGUCGGAUAAAAGGCACACAACUUUUCUUACUUACAAUAAGCCUUAAACAGCACAAGAGCGGGGCAGAUAUCUACUCUCUAUGCUAUUAGAAUCUACCUUUUUACCAAUAACCCCAAGUUAUUACUAUUUUAUCUGGGAUGCUCUUAACUCCAAUUGGCCAGCUCUCAGGGUGACAUUCUCAUGGCUCACCUAACCCAUGGUGGCUCCUCCUCCAUCCCCCCCCCCCCACACACCCCUCUCUCCUCCUCCUCUGACCCCAAGCCCAGGAAUCCUAAAGUCCACCUGUGUCUCUUCUUUCCAGUUAUUGGCUGUCGGCAUCUUUAUUUACCAAUCAGAAAUAAGUUGAAGGCAAGGUCACAUAGCAUUACUUGGGUCUAUAUAAGGACUCUCUCAUCUCUGGGACAAUCAAGUCUUGAGGAACCAGAUCUGGCUUUAGAAUAUAAGCAGCACCAGGCCAACCCACUGCAAUAGGAGUGAAAGUGAAGGCUUAAUGUAAAAGCUCACGGAAGCUCUUCUCCUUACGAACCCGAGCUUUCCGCAGAGACUUUGUUCUGCUUACAGCCAGCCAAUGGCAUCUCUCCUCAGCUCACCCUUGCUUAUCAAGGUUUCAUAGUAAGUAUACCUCUAGAUCAUGGCACCACUUCUCAGUGACUCACCCCAGUCCUCAUACUUCUGCUAUGUUUAAAUAGUGCCAGUGGUUUAUGAAGACCUUUGUAGCCUGCUAAGCAACUGUUCCCCAUCUUAAUUCUUCAACCAUAUCUCACCCCAAGCCUAUCACAAACACCCUCCAUUUAUUUAAGACUAUUAAUCUUUCUGAAAUUCCAUUCACCUUUCACUGCUCGCUCACCACUUCCAUGAAGCUCUCUCCUGUCUCUCCAAACACGGAUCAUGUUGACCUCCAAAACCAUGUUUAUAGAUGCAUCUCAGCACAUGUUUCCUCAAGAAGCCAGUGUGCUUUUGUGAUGUCAUUACCUCCAAAGAGCCUAACGUACCUUCAUGUGGUGAGAAUCAUUAUUCAGUGAGUAACUUACGCUCAGAACAACUAUAAUGUCAGCCGCAGGCAGACAGCAGGCGAUUGUGUCCAUGCAUUGAUAUAUAGUCUCUUAGGAUCCAAGCUCAGACUCAGCCAGGUCUACAGGGGGUGGGGGGCUCCAACUUCUCGCCUCACUGUCUAUAUCCCUUCCUUCUGUGCAUAGGACUCUUUGGUGUUCCAUGGACUUUACUUCUUUCAUAAGCUACUGGCUGUCAUUUCAUUGAGCAACCAUCCCUCCUACUAUUCAGAUACAAACCAACUCUUGUUUGCUUUUUCUCUAUAAGAAUGGACAGAAACCGGAGCCUAGCAAACACAGAAGUGGAUGCUCACA